UAGGGAAUCUUCGGCAAUGGACGAAAGUCUGACCGAGCAACGCCGCGUGAGUGAAGAAGGUUUUCGGAUCGUAAAACUCUGUUGUUAGAGAAGAACAAGGAUGAGAGUAAAAUGUUCAUCCCUUGACGGUAUCUAACCAGAAAGCCACGGCUAACUACGUGCCAGCAGCCGCGGUAAUACGUAGGUGGCAAGCGUUGUCCGGAUUUAUUGGGCGUAAAGCGAGCGCAGGCGGUUUCUUAAGUCUGAUGUGAAAGCCCCCGGCUCAACCGGGAGGGUCAUUGGAAAGCUGGGAGACUUGAGUGCAGAA
rnacentral:rRNA from 1 species